UCUCAAAUGAAUAAAAUCUUAAAAAAAAUUUGUAACCUGUCCUCAACCUAUCUUUCUGGUACCACAUUCUGCUACUCUCUUCUCUGCAGGGAGCCUGCUU